rnacentral:rRNA from 1 species
UACGGAGGGUGCGAGCGUUGUCCGGAAUCAUUGGGCGUAAAGGGCGCGUAGGUGGCCCGCUCAGCGUGCGGUGAAAGCUCGGGGCUCAACCCCGAGUCGGCCGUGCGAACUGGUGGGCUGGAGCACUGUAGAGGCAGGCGGAAUUCCGGGUGUAGCGGUGGAAUGCGUAGAGAUCCGGAAGAACACCGGUGGCGAAGGCGGCCUGCUGGGCAGUUGCUGACACUGAGGCGCGAAAGCGUGGGGAGCAAACAGG